UUUAUUUUCUAGAAUUGUAUUGUCCCGUGAAAUGAAAGAAAAGUUAGCACAGGUUCGACCGUCGACUAUUGGUGCUGCUGGACGAAUUCAAGGCAUGACCCCUGCAGCUCUUCUUCACCUUCUUUAUUAUGUUCGAAAGAAGGAGAAGCAACAUCAGAUGAUGGCCAGAUGAACAAUAGGGGAAUUAUUUCAUUGUAAAUAAAUGCUUUACUAUCUGGCUAUUGCCAGUUUAAAAACAAGUGAAGAAGUUCGUAUUGAACUAGAAAGGAGACACAAGUACUGUAUAAAAGAAGAGAGAAACGUCUGUGACAAAGAUUAUUUUCUCCAAACUGGAUUUUGAACAUGGAUAUUCAUGUCAUAAAUAUUUAAUCCAUAAAAAAUGUGGUACUCGCCCAAAGCUGUAUUCUAAUAGAAAAAAAUAAAUAUAAUUUGAACAAAGUGGAAAAAUAUCUUCGACACAUACUGUACUCUGUAAGCUGAUUUAUGUCACAUGUGCACUUUCACGUGCACCCAAUCUCUUUUCAAAAAUAGGUGUAUAUGGGUGCAUGGUUAAAAAAAACGUUUGGUCAUGUGAUCUAAUUUUGAAGCAAAAGGUCCGCCAUUUUGAAUUUCAAGAUGGCCGACGUGCUGUGUAAAUUAUGGUCAUGUCAUGUUGGCCUACCAUUAGAAAGGUAUACACUGAUCACUUUUCUCCAUUACACCUAUACCUAAAAUGUAUAAAGUUUCUGAGGUAUUUGUCCUUAAAAAUGUCACAUGACCAAAAUAAGGUUAAAGGUCAAAAUUUGACAAUCAUCAAAUACCACCUAAUUUGCAUAAUUUAAAAUGGCGCCCUUUCAUAAUAAUAAUAAUAAUUUUUGACUUAUAUAGCACAUUGUAGAGACCUCUAUGCGUUUCACAUUAUUACCCCUGGUCAUUGGAUCAAGUAGGCCUACAUACUGAACACACACUCAGGCUCCUUGGGAGAAUUCCUUAGGCUAUGUUCUCACACGGCUGCUAACGGUUAACAGGAUCUGGAUCCUGCUAACCGUUAGCUGCCUUGCCUCCAUCCAAGAAAAUCCCGAUCCGGAUACCAAAAAUUUGAAGAACGAAUCACUGCCAAUAAAAAACUGGAAAUUGUAAAUGCGUGCAUGCGAUUGGUUAAUGAUAGAAACACGCUCAACUUGCUAACUGAUAGCGC